rnacentral:rRNA from 1 species
UGGGGGAUAUUGCACAAUGGAGGAAACUCUGAUGCAGCGACGCCACGUGAGGGAAGACGGUCUUCGGCUUGUAAACCUCUGUCUUUGGGGAAGAAAAUGACGGUACCCAAAGAGGAAGCUCCUGCUCACUACGUGCCAGCAGCCGCGGUAAUACGUAGGGAGCGAGCGUUGUCCGGAAUUACUGGGUGUAAAGGGAGCGUAGGCGGGCGAGAAAGUUGAAUGUUAAAUCUACCGGCUUAACUGGUAGCUGCGUUCAAAACUUCUUGUCUUGAGUGAAGUAGAGGUAGGCGGAAUUCCUAGUGUAGCGGUGAAAUGCGUAGAUAUUAGGAGGAACACCAGUGGCGAAGGCGGCCUGCUGGGCUUUAACUGACGCUGAGGCUCGAAAGCGUGGAGAGCAAACAGG